rnacentral:rRNA from 1 species
CAGCCGCCGCGGUAAUACGUAGGGUGCAAGCGUUAAUCGGAAUUACUGGGCGUAAAGCGUGCGCAGGCGGUUUGUUAAGACAGAUGUGAGAUCCCCGGGCUCAACCUGGGAACUGCAUUUGUGACUGGCAAGCUAGAGUGUGGCAGAGGGGGGUGGAAUUCCCCGUGUAGCAGUGAAAUGCGUAGAUAUGCGGAGGAACACCGAUGGCGAAGGCAGCCCCCUGGGCCAACACUGACGCUCAUGCACGAAAGCGUGGGGAGCAAACAGGAUUAGAUACCCCUGUAGUCCCUGUCUCUUAUAC